AAAAAAAGUUCUGAAAACAGACCGUACAUGGCUGUGAAAUCUGACUGGCUUUCUUUCUGAAGCUGGAUGCUUUGGAAGGCUACUCCAGAAAAGACAUCUCAGGAGUGAGUCAAGCCACGUACAUGGAUUUGUGAUACUCAUCUUUUCCAUUUAAAUGCCCAUGGAGGAGCAGCAUUGUCCUCUCGCCAGCUGCCCUCAGGUUCCUGUCACCAGCUAUCUUCAUGUACUUUAGAACUUGUCUGUUUGGUUUACAGCAUGCUACCCAAGGGAAAAUAAUGAUUUAAAACCCUAGGUGUUGCAGGAUACUUGCUCACACUGUGAACCCUGAGAUUGUGUUAUUAACUUUAAAAACUUGUUUUUAGUUGUGGUAUGGCUCAGCUUUAGCACAUACAUUUAAUUCAAGAGCUUUCUGCUUGAAUAUUGUAAACAGGAUUAAGUAAAGUCAACCAUAGGUCAAGAGGCAGAACAAGCAACCAGUUGAUAGGGAAUGAACAGAGGAAAAAAGCCAUAGAGAGUAAGAGGGGGUCAGGAGGACAAAUAGAGAAACUGACAGGAAGUAGAAGGGAGGGACAUUCAUUUAGAGGUGGCUUUUGAGAUGGCAUUAGAGAGGGAGGUUCCUUUUAGGAUACUGGGUGAGGAGGAAGGUCAACUGGGUCCUUCUUCUACCUCUCUGAGCGAACAGGAUUUCAACCCAGUGUCUAGCUACCAAGUCUUCAUUGGUAAAAUGGAACAAUUCAGAUUUUGUUCAAAAGUAAAACACAGGAAGACUGGAUAGUCUUAAAACCCAUCCCAGAGGGUGAAAUUCUGUGGUGGUAGACUAGAUGUCAGGGCUCCUUUCAGCACCCACAUCCUAUAAUUGAAUUAUAUAUUGUUCUUUUUUUGAGUGUGUGAUCUCAUCAGAACCAGACCCUUGUCCAUGCUAUUUAAGUUUUGUACCACUAAGCAACAUCUGAAACCCUUGUUUUUUUGAGGCAAGGUCUUGUUAUAUAGUCUGGGCCAGCCUUAAACUCCUGAACGCUUGCCUCAGCUUGCCUAAAAUUCCAUAUGUGCAUAUACACUGCCAUGUACCAUCUUUUAAAUUAGUCUUUCAUGUCCCUUAAAGCAACAAUAUAGGUCUAUAAAUACUUUAUUUAUUAGAAUGGAUUACAUAUUUCUAAGUGCUAAUCAACAGGACAGUAUUUGUGUACACUACUAUGUGUACAUCAAUAAUACUAUGGUUAUUUAUGCUGUGAAAGUUGCCUGAGCAAGUCCAUCAAAAUAGAUACCUGAAGAAAUAAUUACUCAUAACUCUUUAGGUUCAAUUCAGAGACUACUGCCAUACUUCAGUGAGCCUUGUUAAGUAAGAACACUGAUGUGUGUCUUCUUAGCCUUAGAUUAGAAGGAAAGAUGACUUUGCCAGGAAUGAUGGCAUUGAAACUAAAGCUUUGAGAGCCUGGUUUUAUAUCAUGCUAAAGCCAAGAUAUUAGACAGAAAUGGCUUUGUUCUCUUACACUCUGUUUAUGCGAUGCUCUAGAACUGAGGGACAGACAUUAAAACUAUAGCCGUAAGGGGAUAAGGUCAAAAGGGGGGAGGUAGAAGUUUGGGGGAGCCAGGAAGUGCUGUGUCUUCCCAGCAUGGAUGGUUAAGAGCCCCCCACCCCACCCCACCCCCCGGUCAGUCUUCACCAAAACCUUCCUGGAGAAAGUGCAAAUUCACUGUAUGUGUAUGAAAUCUUCGUAAAUCUGACUUUUUCAAAAACUGAAAAACAAAAUUGUCCAGGACCCAAGCCUUAGGCAAACACAGUAAUUCCUGCCACUACACAGGUUUUUCCAGCACCCUGGGGGACUUUGGAGACAUUUCUCUUUGAAGAGAGUAAAGGAUUCCUUGCCCCAAGGAACUUUAUCCAGCCCUUUGAGCUUCUGUGCACCUCUCACAGGAUGGACUGGGUCAGCAGUGGAAUCAGAUUGUAUCGUUGCUCUCAUCUUUCUGCAGAAUUGAUUUCCUCUGGGUCCUAGUUCUGAACUCACAUCUUAUUGCCUCCUUUUAAAGGAGAAUGCCCAUGGCAUUCUCUAAUUCCCAAGUGAGUUCUGGGCUAUAAGGAUCAGAAUCUGUUUGGAGAAAUGGCAUAGGUGGAUCUGGCCUGAAGGCUUCCAGGAUUCUGCAUCAAAGGCCGAAGGGCUCUCUUUCCUUGUCAAAUCAUUUCUCUUUCCUUGGAUUUGCUGUACAUAGUACAUUCUUGAAGGACCUUGACCUAGAUUCUUCCUCUGCAUAGCAGCUCUCUGAAUGUGGCUUUAUCUGAGGCUGCUGCCAAAGGCAGUAAGUAACCUGGGAGUGAGGCAGGACAGAGCGGCUGGGGUGUGCCUUUGGUUUUCCCCUAGUUGACAAGAACCAGUACUUACGCCCCUAUGUCCUUUGAGUGGGAUGGAGUACAGGCAGCAUCCACAGCAGGAUGCUCACAAAAACCUGGGGCAGAGAAUAAGUUCUGUAGAUGCCUCAUUCCACCCUUGCCAAAGCAUCCAGCAAAUCCCCAGGCCUCACAUCAAGUGCUCUGUGGCUGUUCCUGAUUUGAUUGACUGAUACUUCGCUCUGCACCUAGAUUCCAAGUAAUUUAUUCUCCUCCCCUAAACCUCCGAUGCAUCCCUUUUCUUCUCCCACUGUCAAAAGCUUUGCUAGAUGUUCCUUCCCCGAGCCCCACAAUAACCAUCCUGGCCUAACCAAUCUAUAUUUUAACUAUAUUUGAACCUCCACCCAGCCUCCCAUCCCUCGCGGCACUAGAUUUUUUUUUUCUGGUAGAUAUUUCUCUUCUAUCUGAAACAUCAUGUAUUUAUUAGAAAUAUUUGCCAAUGCUUGAAAAACUUGCAUAUACUGCUUUCAGGUAAGCAGCCGUAAGCAGGGGUCUGGGAGAAAACGGGAGGUCUGGCUUUGUCCUCAACAGGGUGAUUGCCCUUAGAUUUGUGGAGGCAGGCUUGGUAGCAGUUAUGGCUGGGAACACAGAAAGGCCUUCUUCUGGAGAAUAAAGCUACAGCUCUGGGGACAAAGGCCGUCAGCAGGUUCCCCAUGGUGAAUCUUUAUGAAAGAGACAGUUUAUAGUUCUAAAGUUUAUUUUCAUGACAUAAAAUGGCCAUGUAAAAGCAUAAACCACUUCUCAGGGUGGGCCUGAGAUUAAAUACCUUUUGCAGAGAGAAAUGUCUGGGAAGGGAAGCUUAUUGGAUAAGCCCUCUUGGGCCUCUAGGUACCUCAUUAGCAUGGAGAACUCUGUUCUAGGUCUAUAUGACCAUAGGGCAGUUUCUUUUAUGUUAGAAGCAUGGCUUGUGUUCCAGGUUAGGAGUCUGGCAGGGAGCUGGAAGUCAUCUAAGCCUCAGGUGUGUGCCCACCAAGUCUCUGGGUCUCGACCCGCUCUACCUUACCAAACUUCCUGGCAUGGUUUUACAUCUCACAUGUUUCCUGGUCGUGUGUUCAGUUUUUAGCUAUAAGCACAGAGGAAAAGGCUGUAGAGAGUGUCUUCAGUGAACACUAUCAUUUCAGAGGAAGGAAAAGAAGCCAGAACUUGGACAUGCAUAUCUAAUG
rnacentral:lncRNA from 1 species